UGUAACAGAAAGUUCACAUGUUAAAGCUCCUCAUUAUGAGCUGCUCUGGAUAAGAGCAUCAGCUAAACAGCUGAGAUGUAAAUGAGAUGUAAAUGUUGAGAGUUCCUCAACAGAUGAUGAAGAGGAAGGGCCAAUGAUGUGAAGGCCCAGAUCCAUCAGAGUAUCAAUGUUCUUCCUCUCUCUCCUCCCCUCUCACUGCAGACAUGAACCACUGGCUGAGAAACAUCCUGAUUCUGACUCUCUGGCUAGAGUGUAAAGGAGAAGACAGAGUGACCCAGCCAGCAGGAGAUGUCAUUGCUGCUGAAGGAGACACAGUUACACUUGGCUGUACUUUUGAGACGACUAACACAGGUCCAACUUUGUUCUGGUACAAACAGGAUGGAAACAACAGCCCCAAAUUCAUGUUGAGCCGCAUGCAAGGGGUCGAAGUAAAAACAGAGGAAGAGUUUAAAGAAAGAUUUUCAUCCACACUGGAUUCCACCUCAAGAUCAGUUCCUCUGAAGAUCCAGAAGCUUCAGCUGUCUGACUCUGCUGUGUACUACUGU